rnacentral:sRNA from 1 species
UUUGCGGAAUGUUUGCGGUCUGAUUCCGAGCA